rnacentral:snoRNA from 1 species
AUGACUGUACUUUUAUAGAAUCUCUAUUUAUGUACUCUCCAAAUUUGACUAAUUCAAAUUUGAUAUCAACACAACCUGUGAUGACGAAUUGAAGCAAGAUUGGAUUUUUGUGAGAAGAUCAACGUCUUUUUUUGCUCCGGCAAAUACGUUGUGGCGAAGAAACAGCGUCUUGGCAUGUUCUGCCUUGAUGCAACCAAUCCUGCACUUUGAACAGG